UACGUAGGUGGCAAGCGUUGUCCGGAUUUACUGGGUGUAAAGGGCGUGUAGGCGGGCGCUUAAGUCAGACGUGAAAUACCGGAGCUCAACUCCGGGGCUGCGUUUGAAACUGGGUGUCUUGAGUGCUGGAGAGGAUAGUGGAAUUCCUAGUGUAGCGGUGAAAUGCGUAGAGAUUAGGAGGAACACCAGUGGCGAAGGCGACUAUCUGGACAGUAACUGACGCUGAGGCGCGAAAGUGUGGGGAGCAAACAGG
rnacentral:misc_RNA from 1 species